UUUUAAAUAAUCUUUUAAUUGUCACCAGCCCUGCAAAAAAGGUAAAUUCUACAUCAGGUAUUUGUCAUUCUUAGUCAGAAAGGUUAAGUUCAUUUAGUGACAGUGCAGCCACACAGCUCCAGCAACUAAAGCUUACGGUGUCCUUUGUUACCAGGAACAUCCCCGCACGCACCGUUACAUCACAGGAAGGUUUGUCUCAUCUCCCAGGGCACUCUGAGGGAAGCUGAACAUGUGCCCACGGUGUUCACACUUGGUCCACUUUCUUCCAAGCCAUUUGCUGCAGUCAAACCUGCCUCACUUUGGUUUCAUUGAUGGCCACCCCUUCCUCUCUCUCUCUCUCUCCAGAGGGUUAAGAAGCUUACAGUUGGAGUGCUUUCUCCCUGGCUGAGAGGCAGGAGGGUGAGUGGUUGCAGAGGACAGACAGAUAAAACAGCACAAAAGCAUCACUGAUGGAGGAAGAUCAGACAAGUACAGGAGAAGCCGAGUAGGAUAACGGCAGAUGAAUAGGUCAGGUAUUGAUGAGAAGGAAAUCCCCCACCUAAAGAGGAUGAAAAUCCCACAACAUCUUGCACCACAAAGGUGAAACCUCUCGGGUACAGGUUCUACCUCUCAGGUACUGACUUCCAGAACAGGAAAUUGGAUUAGUCAGGUAAGCAAGGAGACCACAAGAGCAACUUCUGCACCACCCAUAACCCUGCAAAACAUCACCAAGGCCUUGCACAGUGUUUAAUA